UUUGGCCCCCACCUAAUCAGUCAAAGGUUUCACAAAGCAGAUUAGAGUACAAAAUAUGGAGAACUGGAACAGGUUUUAAUGCUACAAAAUAGACAGCUCAGUGCUAGAACUCUGGAAUUUCUGACUGGGUCCUUGGCACUCUUGAAACUCUCCAGGCCACAGUUUGUUGCCAGUGGCUCAGAAGAACUACAGAGUAAACAUGCCUUUCAUUAAAGACCAAAAGAGUAUAAUAUCAAGGAAGCAGAGGCCCAGAAGGCAGGCUGCCAUAUCAGCUCUUUCACUAAAAGCAAAUCUAACUCGUGUGCUGAUAUGAGGCAAAAGUUCCAGCAGAACAUGAAGAAACAGCUUGUUCUUUAUGUGACACCCUCAUGAGCCUUGAGAGGUAGGAAAAGACUCUUUUCCUGUGUACUCUUAAAACACAACCCACCUUACUGCUGACCAGAUUUAGGACUUGUCUUCAGGCCCUUUAAAGAUGCAUUUAUUUGUCUAGGCAUUCAAAUGAGAAUACAGGGAUGAUGAUAGACAAUUUUGUGACUGCAUACAAAAAUAUAUUACAGGU
rnacentral:lncRNA from 1 species